UACAGAGGUGACUAACGUUGUCCGGAAUUAUUGGGCGUAAAGGGCGCGUAGGCGGUCGGGUAAGUCAGAUGUGAAAGCUCUGGGCUUAACUCAGGAAUUGCAUUUGAUACUGUCCGGCUUGAGUACGGUAGAGGAGGGUGGAAUUCCCAGUGUAGCGGUGAAAUGCGUAGAUAUUGGGAGGAACACCGGUGGCGAAGGCGGCCCUCUGGACCGAAACUGACGCUGAAGCGCGAAAGCUAGGGGAG
rnacentral:rRNA from 1 species